rnacentral:rRNA from 1 species
GUAGGUGGCAAGCGUUGUCCGGAAUUAUUGGGCGUAAAGCGCGCGCAGGUGGUUCUUUAAGUCUGAUGUGAAAGCCCCCGGCUCAACCGGGGAGGGUCAUUGGAAACUGGGGAACUUGAGUGCAGGAGAGGAAAGUGGAAUUCCACGUGUAGCGGUGAAAUGCGUAGAUAUGUGGAGGAACACCAGUGGCGAAGGCGACUUUCUGGCCUGUAACUGACACUGAGGCGCGAAAGCGUGGGGAGCAAACAGGGAUUAGAUACCCUGGUAGUCCACGCCGUAAACGAUGAGUGCUAAGUGUUGGGGGGGUUUCCGCCCCCUCAGUGCUGCAGCUAACGCAUUAAGCACUCCGCCCUGGGAGUACGGUCGCAAGACUG